UGCGAAGGGGGCUAGCGUUGUUCGGAUUUACUGGGCGUAAAGCGCACGUAGGCGGAUCGUUAAGUCGGGGGUGAAAUCCUGGAGCUCAACUCCAGAACUGCCUUCGAUACUGGCGAUCUUGAGUCCGGAAGAGGUGAGUGGAACUCCUAGUGUAGAGGUGGAAUUCGUAGAUAUUUAGGAAGAACACCAGUGGCGAAGGCG
rnacentral:rRNA from 1 species